rnacentral:rRNA from 1 species
GACGAACGCUGGCGGCGUGCUUAACACAUGCAAGUCGAGCGGAAAGGCCACUUCGGUGGUACUCGAGCGGCGAACGGGUGAGUAACACGUGAGUAAUCUGCCCUUGGCUUUGGGAUAGCCACCGGAAACGGUGAUUAAUACCGGAUACGACCACUUCUCGCAUGGGAUGGUGGUGGAAAGUUUUUUCGGCCAGGGAUGUGCUCGCGGCCUAUCAGCUUGAUGGUGAGGUAAUGGCUCACCAUGGCUUCGACGGGUAGCCGGCCUGAGAGGGUGACCGGUCACACUGGGACUGAGACACGGCCCAGACUCCUACGGGAGGCAGCAGUGGGGAAUAUUGGACAAUGGGCGGAAGCCUGAUCCAGCAACGCCGCGUGAGGGAUGACGGCCUUCGGGUUGUAAACCUCUUUCAGCAGGGACGAAGCGCAAGUGACGGUACCUGCAGAAGAAGCACCGGCCAACUACGUGCCAGCAGCCGCAGUAAAAC